ACGCUCGACACCUACGGGAGGAGCAGUGGGGAAUAUUGCACAAUGGAGGAAACUCUGAUGCAGCGAUGCCGCGUGAGGGAAGAAGGUUUUCGGAUUGUAAACCUCUGUCUUUGGGGACGAUAAUGACGGUACCCAAGGAGGAAGCUCCGGCUAACUACGUGCCAGCAGCCGCGGUAAUCUGAGCGGGCUGGCAAGGC
rnacentral:rRNA from 1 species